rnacentral:rRNA from 1 species
UACGAAGGGGGCUAGCGUUGUUCGGAAUCACUGGGCGUAAAGCGCACGUAGGCGGAUCUUUAAGUCAGAGGUGAAAUCCCAAGGCUCAACCUUGGAACUGCCUUUGAUACUGGGGAUCUUGAGUCCGGGAGAGGUGAGUGGAACUGCGAGUGUAGAGGUGAAAUUCGUAGAUAUUCGCAAGAACACCAGUGGCGAAGGCGGCUCACUGGACAUGUAUUGACGCUGAGGUGCGAAAGCGUGGGGAGCAAACAGG